rnacentral:lncRNA from 1 species
UAUCAAAAGAUUGGGAGUUAGCAAAGGCAACUGAGAAGAUGUUUGGUCUGCUUCUUGAGCUUGUUUCAGAUAUUUUGCAUCUCUGCCUUUACUUCAUUUCCCCCCUUUUUCUUAGCUUUCUUUUAAUUAUCAUUUUUGGCAGUGAGGGAGAAAAGGCCAAACCCAAUUUUUGAAUUGUUUUCCAGAGCUGAAAACAAGUUUAUGGUUUGAUGGAAAAAUGACAAAUUUGACUUUCAGUACUAGUAUAUCUGCACCAUCAUCACUGAAAAAUUUAGCAAUUCUCAUGUUUUUAGCAAACAAGGAGGAAAAAGCUGUGCAACUUAAGCCACUCUCUUUUCAAUUACAGUUAUUGCCCAUGGGAUAUUAGUUGACCUGUGAGUCAGCAUAUCUCAUACUAUCAUAAACAGGCAGGAGAUUUGGUGGGACAAGCCUCCCGGAGAGCCCUGGAUUAGCACAAGCUCACAACAGUAAAAUGCUGCUGGCUGCCAGCAAAGGCAGGGGGAGAAGGCAUGAAGACACAGGUCUCUUCUGUGGUCAGCUUAUGUUUGAGACGGUCUCUCUUCCUGAGGAGAGCUAGCUGCUGCGCAGUGCAAUCGUGUUCUCUUCUAUGGAGCGAACAACUGAUAAACGUGCAACUUGCAACGAAGGAACUAAAGAUAAUAUUGCGCUUGGGAUUCGCGGAGGAAUCUGCCAGCUCAGCCUGGUCAGCAGAUGCUCCCUAGAAAAACACUGCCGUUCCUGGCCCACAUGUGAAUUCCUCAAAACAAGAUCAUUAUUUGAAGACCACUUGCCACGAUAAUAUGGUGAUGGUGUUUCUACCUUCCCACACUUCCCA